UUAAGCGACUAAGCGUACACGGUGGAUGCCCUGGCAGUCAGAGGCGAUGAAGGACGUGCUAAUCUGCGAUAAGCGUCGGUAAGGUGAUAUGAACCGUUAUAACCGGCGAUUUCCGAAUGGGGAAACCCAGUGUGAUUCGUCACACUAUCAUUAACUGAAUCCAUAGGUUAAUGAGGCGAACCGGGGGAACUGAAACAUCUAAGUACCCCGAGGAAAAGAAAUCAACCGAGAUUCCCCCAGUAGCGGCGAGCGAACGGGGAGGAGCCCAGAGCCUGAAUCAGUGUGUGUGUUAGUGGAAGCGUCUGGAAAGGCGCGCGAUACAGGGUGACAGCCCCGUACACAAAAAUGCACAUAUUGUGAGCUCGAUGAGUAGGGCGGGACACGUGGUAUCCUGUCUGAAUAUGGGGGGACCAUCCUCCAAGGCUAAAUACUCCUGACUGACCGAUAGUGAACCAGUACCGUGAGGGAAAGGCGAAAAGAACCCCGGCGAGGGGAGUGAAAAAGAACCUGAAACCGUGUACGUACAAGCAGUGGGAGCACGCUUCGGCGUGUGACUGCGUACCUUUUGUAUAAUGGGUCAGCGACUUAUAUUCUGUAGCAAGGUUAACCGAAUAGGGGAGCCGAAGGGAAACCGAGUCUUAACUGGGCGUUAAGUUGCAGGGUAUAGACCCGAAACCCGGUGAUCUAGCCAUGGGCAGGUUGAAGGUUGGGUAACACUAACUGGAGGACCGAACCGACUAAUGUUGAAAAAUUAGCGGAUGACUUGUGGCUGGGGGUGAAAGGCCAAUCAAACCGGGAGAUAGCUGGUUCUCCCCGAAAGCUAUUUAGGUAGCGCCUCGUGAAUUCAUCUCCGGGGGUAGAGCACUGUUUCGGCAAGGGGUCAUCCCGACUUACCAACCCGAUGCAAACUGCGAAUACCGGAGAAUGUUAUCACGGGAGACACACGGCGGGUGCUAACGUCCGUCGUGAAGAGGGAAACAACCCAGACCGCCAGCUAAGGUCCCAAAGUCAUGGUUAAGUGGGAAACGAUGUGGGAAGGCCCAGACAGCCAGGAUGUUGGCUUAGAAGCAGCCAUCAUUUAAAGAAAGCGUAAUAGCUCACUGGUCGAGUCGGCCUGCGCGGAAGAUGUAACGGGGCUAAACCAUGCACCGAAGCUGCGGCAGCGACACUGUGUGUUGUUGGGUAGGGGAGCGUUCUGUAAGCCUGUGAAGGUGUACUGUGAGGUAUGCUGGAGGUAUCAGAAGUGCGAAUGCUGACAUAAGUAACGAUAAAGCGGGUGAAAAGCCCGCUCGCCGGAAGACCAAGGGUUCCUGUCCAACGUUAAUCGGGGCAGGGUGAGUCGACCCCUAAGGCGAGGCCGAAAGGCGUAGUCGAUGGGAAACAGGUUAAUAUUCCUGUACUUGGUGUUACUGCGAAGGGGGGACGGAGAAGGCUAUGUUGGCCGGGCGACGGUUGUCCCGGUUUAAGCGUGUAGGCUGGUUUUCCAGGCAAAUCCGGAAAAUCAAGGCUGAGGCGUGAUGACGAGGCACUACGGUGCUGAAGCAACAAAUGCCCUGCUUCCAGGAAAAGCCUCUAAGCAUCAGGUAACAUCAAAUCGUACCCCAAACCGACACAGGUGGUCAGGUAGAGAAUACCAAGGCGCUUGAGAGAACUCGGGUGAAGGAACUAGGCAAAAUGGUGCCGUAACUUCGGGAGAAGGCACGCUGAUAUGUAGGUGAAGUCCCUCGCGGAUGGAGCUGAAAUCAGUCGAAGAUACCAGCUGGCUGCAACUGUUUAUUAAAAACACAGCACUGUGCAAACACGAAAGUGGACGUAUACGGUGUGACGCCUGCCCGGUGCCGGAAGGUUAAUUGAUGGGGUCAGCGCAAGCGAAGCUCUUGAUCGAAGCCCCGGUAAACGGCGGCCGUAACUAUAACGGUCCUAAGGUAGCGAAAUUCCUUGUCGGGUAAGUUCCGACCUGCACGAAUGGCGUAAUGAUGGCCAGGCUGUCUCCACCCGAGACUCAGUGAAAUUGAACUCGCUGUGAAGAUGCAGUGUACCCGCGGCAAGACGGAAAGACCCCGUGAACCUUUACUAUAGCUUGACACUGAACAUUGAGCCUUGAUGUGUAGGAUAGGUGGGAGGCUUUGAAGUGUGGACGCCAGUCUGCAUGGAGCCGACCUUGAAAUACCACCCUUUAAUGUUUGAUGUUCUAACGUUGACCCGUGAUCCGGGUUGCGGACAGUGUCUGGUGGGUAGUUUGACUGGGGCGGUCUCCUCCUAAAGAGUAACGGAGGAGCACGAAGGUUGGCUAAUCCUGGUCGGACAUCAGGAGGUUAGUGCAAUGGCAUAAGCCAGCUUGACUGCGAGCGUGACGGCGCGAGCAGGUGCGAAAGCAGGUCAUAGUGAUCCGGUGGUUCUGAAUGGAAGGGCCAUCGCUCAACGGAUAAAAGGUACUCCGGGGAUAACAGGCUGAUACCGCCCAAGAGUUCAUAUCGACGGCGGUGUUUGGCACCUCGAUGUCGGCUCAUCACAUCCUGGGGCUGAAGUAGGUCCCAAGGGUAUGGCUGUUCGCCAUUUAAAGUGGUACGCGAGCUGGGUUUAGAACGUCGUGAGACAGUUCGGUCCCUAUCUGCCGUGGGCGCUGGAGAACUGAGGGGGGCUGCUCCUAGUACGAGAGGACCGGAGUGGACGCAUCACUGGUGUUCGGGUUGUCAUGCCAAUGGCACUGCCCGGUAGCUAAAUGCGGAAGAGAUAAGUGCUGAAAGCAUCUAAGCACGAAACUUGCCCCGAGAUGAGUUCUCCCUGACUCCUUGAGAGUCCUGAAGGAACGUUGAAGACGACGACGUUGAUAGGCCGGGUGUGUAAGCGCAGCGAUGCGUUGAGCUAACCGGUACUAAUGAACCGUGAGGCUUAACCUU
rnacentral:rRNA from 1 species